UUAAGUCCCGCAACGAGCGCAACCCUCGACCUUAGUUGCCAGCAUUCAGUUGGGCACUCUAAGGUGACUGCCGGCUAAAAGUCGGAGGAAGGUGGGGAUGACGUCAAAUCAUCAUGCCCCUUAUGACCUGGGCUACACACGUGCUACAAUGGGCGGUACAAAGGGUCGCGAACCCGCGAGGUGGAGCUAAUCCCAUAAAACCGAUCGUAGUCCGGAUCGCAGUCUGCAACUCGACUGCGUGAAGUCGGAAUCGCUAGUAAUCGUGAAUCAGAAUGUCACGGUGAAUACGUUCCCGGGCCUU
rnacentral:rRNA from 1 species